rnacentral:rRNA from 1 species
GACGAACGCUGGCGGCGGGCUUAACACAUGCAAGUCGAACGGAAAGGCCCUGCUUUUUUGGGGUGCUCGAGUGGCGAACGGGUGAGUAACACGUGAGUAACCUGCCCUUGACUUUGGGAUAACUUCAGGAAACUGGGGCUAAUACCGGAUAGGAGCUCCUGCUGCAUGGUGGGGGUUGGAAAGUUUCGGCGGUUGGGGAUGGACUCGCGGCUUAUCAGCUUGUUGGUGGGGUAGUGGCUUACCAAGGCUUUGACGGGUAGCCGGCCUGAGAGGGUGACCGGGCACAUUGGGACUGAGAUACGGCCCAGACUCCUACGGGAGGCAGCAGUGGGGAAUAUUGCACAAUGGGCGGAAGCCUGAUGCAGCAACGCCGCGUGCGUGAUGACGGCCUUCGGGUUGUAAACCGCUUUCGCCUGUGACGAAGCGUGAGUGACGGUAAUGGGUAAAGAAGCACCGGCUAACUACGUG